GUAGCAAUUAACCCUUUGUCAAAAGUCUAUUUAUUAACUGAAGUUACAGAACUAGAAGUCACACCACGGUUCUAAGCUUAGUGAAUGAAUAGAUGGAAAUACUAUACUCAUGAAAUGCAAAGCCAUCUUUUUUAGGCUUAAUAAACUAAGUAGACAUAAACACUUUUUAUGUCUACAACUGAUUGGACAUGAUUUGGAAAGGCACACAUCUGUCAAUAUAAGGUUCCACAUGUUUAAAUGCAUAGGUAAACAAAACCCGAGCCAUAAGGUCAAAGCUUAGAGACAGG